UGGGAUGUAGCUCAGAAGUAGAGCACUUGCCUAGCAUGCUUGAAACCCUGAGUUUAAUCCUCGGCAUUGAAA
rnacentral:tRNA from 1 species